rnacentral:rRNA from 1 species
UCUACGGAGAGUUUGAUCCUGGCUCAGGAUGAACGCUGGCGGCGUGCUUAACACAUGCAAGUCGAACGAGGUCCAACCUUCGGGUGAAGACCUAGUGGCGAACGGGUGAGUAACACGUGGGGAACCUGCCCUUCUCUCUGGGAUAACGUCGAGAAAUCGGUGCUAAUACCGGAUACUCCUUGCGGAUCGCAUGGUCUGCUCGGGAAAGCUCCGGCGGAGAUGGAUGGCCCCGCGGCCCAUUAGCUAGUUGGUGAGGUAAUGGCCCACCAAGGCGACGAUGGGUAGCCGAGCUGAGAGGCUGAUCGGCCACACUGGGACUGAGACACGGCCCAGACUCCUACGGGAGGCAGCAGUGGGGAAUUUUGCACAAUGGGCGAAAGCCUGAUGCAGCAACGCCGCGUGCGGGAUGAAGGCCCUCGGGUCGUAAACCGCUUUCAGCAGGGAUGAAAAUGACAGUACCUGCAGAAGAAGCCCCGGCUAAAUACGUGCCAGCAGCCGCGGUAAUACGUAUGGGGCAAGCGUUAUCCGGAUUUAUUGGGCGUAAAGCGCGCGUAGGCGGAUUGUUAAGUCGGAUGUGAAAACCGGGGGCUCAACCCGCGGCCUGCAUCUGAAACUGGCAGUCUUGAGUCUGGUAGAGGAAAGUGGAAUUCCUGGUGUAGCGGUGAAAUGCGCAGAUAUCAGGAGGAACACCAGUGGCGAAGGCGGCUUUCUGGGCCACGACUGACGCUGAGGCGCGAAAGCUAGGGGAGCGAACAGGAUUAGAUACCCUGGUAGUCCUAGCCGUAAACGAUGGGCACUAGGUGUGGG